rnacentral:rRNA from 1 species
GAUGAACGCUGGCGGCGUGCCUAAUACAUGCAAGUCGAGCGAACAGACGAGGAGCUUGCUCCUCUGACGUUAGCGGCGGACGGGUGAGUAACACGUGGAUAACCUACCUAUAAGACUGGGAUAACUUCGGGAAACCGGAGCUAAUACCGGAUAAUAUUUUGAACCGCAUGGUUCAAUAGUGAAAGACGGUUUUGCUGUCACUUAUAGAUGGAUCCGCGCCGCAUUAGCUAGUUGGUAAGGUAACGGCUUACCAAGGCGACGAUGCGUAGCCGACCUGAGAGGGUGAUCGGCCACACUGGAACUGAGACACGGUCCAGACUCCUACGGGAGGCAGCAGUAGGGAAUCUUCCGCAAUGGGCGAAAGCCUGACGGAGCAACGCCGCGUGAGUGAUGAAGGUCUUCGGAUCGUAAAACUCUGUUAUUAGGGAAGAACAAAUGUGUAAGUAACUAUGCACGUCUUGAUGGUACCUAAUCAGAAAGCCACGGCUAACUACGUG